AAUCCAAUCUAAUCACAAUAUUACUGUUGGGCAUUUUAAAGGAGUGGUCUUUUGGGCUAAAGUUAGAUGCAACCCACAAAGUAAAACCUGUGGUCUGCAC